rnacentral:rRNA from 1 species
AUUGAACGCUGGCGGCAGGCUUAACACAUGCAAGUCGAGCGGAGCGAGGGUGCUUGCACCUUAGCUUAGCGGCGGACGGGUGAGUAAUGCUUAGGAAUCUGCCUAUUAGUGGGGGACAACAUUCCGAAAGGAAUGCUAAUACCGCAUACGCCCUACGGGGGAAAGCAGGGGAUCUUCGGACCUUGCGCUAAUAGAUGAGCCUAAGUCGGAUUAUCUAGUUGGGGGGGUAAAGGCCUACCAAGGCGAUGAUCUGUAGCGGGUAUGAGAGGAUGAGCCGCAACACUGGGACUGAGACACGGCCCAGACUCCUACGGGAGGCAGCAGUGGGGAAUUGUUCGCAAGGGGCGCAAGCCUGACGACGCAACGCCGCGUGGAGGAUGAAGAUCUUCGGGUCGUAAACUCCUUUCGAUCGGGACGAACGAUCGGUGACCUAACACGUCAUCGGAAUGACGGUACCGAGAGAAGAAGCCCCGGCUAACUCCGUGCCAGCAGCCGCCGUAACAC